AUUGAACGCUGGCGGCAGGCCUAACACAUGCAAGUCGAGCGAGUGGCGGACGGGUGAGUAAUGUCUGGGAAACUGCCCGAUGGAGGGGGAUAACUACGGGAAAGGUAGCUAAUACCGCAUACUAUUGGAGCGGCCGAUAUGGGAUUAGCUAGGUGGUGGGGUAACGGCUUACCAAGGCGACGAUCCGUCGAUGGUUUGAGAGGACGACCAGCCACACUGGGACUGAGAAACGGCCCAGAGUCCUAAGGGAGGCAGCAGGGGGGAAGUUGGGACAAUGGGGGAAACCCUGAUCCAGCCAUCCCGCGUGUGCGAAGAAGGCCUUCGGGUUGUAAAGCACUUUUGGCAGGGAAGCGGUACCCGCAGAAUAAGCACCGGCUAACUACGUGCCAGCCGCCGCGGUAAUUC
rnacentral:rRNA from 1 species